rnacentral:lncRNA from 1 species
GCCGUCAUCAGCUGCUCAUCCUACGAGCGCAGCUAGUGCUCACUCAACACAGGUUCUUCUUCCCAAAGAGUUCGACAUUUAGUGAAUUUCAAAACACUGGGCACAUUUCACAGUAAAAAAUGAAUCAAUCACACCGAAGAGGAGGGACUUGUUUUUUGCAGAACUUAGCAAAGGGGUUCAUAAAAUCUAAGUUGUUACACUAGAACAUAAAAGAAUACUUACAAAAAAAGAAUAUUUUAAAUACUCAGAAAUAAAGCAAUGCAAAAUGUCUAUGGAUCAAAACUAAGUUUUUACAUCUAUCAAAAAGAAAAGGACUCAAGAGCUCGUUCAUGAUAUUAUUAGCUAAAAAAUUAUCAGAUAAUAUGAAU